UUCACACUUCUGAACAUGAGGUUCCCUGCUCAGCUCCUGGGUCUCCUCCUGCUCUGGAUCCCAGGAUCCAGUGGGGACAUUGUGCUGACCCAGACUCCACUCUCCCUGUCUGUCAUCCCUGGAAAGAUGGCGUCCAUCUCCUGCAGAGCCAGUCAGAGCCUUGAAGAUAGUUAUGGAGACACUUCUUUGAGCUGGCACCUGCAGAAGCCUGGCCAGUCUCCACAGCUCCUGAUCUAUUUGGUUUCUAAUUGGGCCUCUGGGGUGCCAGACAGGUUCACUGGCAGUGGGUCAGGGACAGAUUUCACCCUUAAAAUCAGCAGAGUGGAGGCUGAGGAUGCUGGAGUUUAUUACUGCCAGCAGAGUAUACAAGAACCUCCCACAGUGGUACAGCUCUGAACAUAAACCCCCCCUCUCCUGGUCGCCCAGCUGCUCACAUGUGUUGACUGGGGAGCAGGUAGGCAUAGUCUCUGAUGGUGUAGGA